UGCUAUACUGCAAGUCGAGCGAACAGACGAAGUGCUUGCACUUCUGACGUUAGCGGCGAACGGGUGAGUAACACGUAAGGAAUCUACCUAUAAGCGGGGGAUAACAUUCGGAAACGGGUGCUAAUACCGCAUAAUAUCUUCUUCCGCAUGGAAGAAGAUUGAAAGACGGCUCUGCUGUCACUUAUAGAUGACCUUGCGGUGCAUUAGUUAGUUGGUGGGGUAAUGGCCUACCAAGACGAUGAUGCAUAGCCGACCUGAGAGGGUGAUCGGCCACAUUGGGACUGAGACACGGCCCAAACUCCUACGGGAGGCAGCAGUAGGGAAUCUUCCGCAAUGGGCGAAAGCCUGACGGAGCAAUGCCGCGUGAGUGAAGAAGGCCUUCGGGUCGUAAAACUCUGUUAUAAGAGAAGAACAAAUUGUAGAGUAACUGCUACAGUCUUGACGGUAUCUUAUCAGAAAGCCACGGCUAACUACGUGCCAGCAGCCGCGGUAAUACGUAGGUGGCAAGCGUUGUCCGGAUUUAUUGGGCGUAAAGGGAGCGCAGGUGGUUUCUUAAGUCUGAUGUGAAAGCCCACGGCUUAACCGUGGAGGGUCAUUGGAAACUGGGGAACUUGAGUACAGAAGAGGAAUGUGGAACUCCAUGUGUAGCGGUGGAAUGCGUAGAUAUAUGGAAGAACACCAGUGGCGAAGGCGACAUUCUGGUCUGUUACUGACACUGAGGCUCGAAAGCGUGGGGAGCAAACAGGAUUAGAUACCCUGGUAGUCCACGCCGUAAACGAUGAGUGCUAGGUGUUGGAGGGUUUCCGCCCUUCAGUGCCGCAGUUAACGCAUUAAGCACUCGCCUGGGGA
rnacentral:rRNA from 1 species